rnacentral:rRNA from 1 species
UCCAGACUCCUACGGGAGGCAGCAGUGGGGAAUAUUGCACAAUGGGGGAAACCCUGAUGCAGCGACGCCGCGUGAGUGAAGAAGUAUUUCGGUAUGUAAAGCUCUAUCAGCAGGGAAGAAAAUGACGGUACCUGACUAAGAAGCCCCGGCUAACUCCGUGCCAGCAGCCGCGGUAAUACGGAGGGUGCGAGCGUUAAUCGGAAUUACUGGGCGUAAAGCGCUCGUAGGCGGUAUGUCAAGUCAAGGGUGAAAUCCCCGCGCUCAACGUGGGAACUGCCUUUGAAACUGGCAAACUGGAGUGUGUGAGAGGAUAGUGGAAUUCCAGGUGUAGGAGUGAAAUCCGUAGAUAUCAGGAGGAACACCGGUGGCGAAGGCGGCCUGCUGGACUGCAACUGACGUUGAGGCCCGAAAGCGUGGGGAGCAAACAGGAUUAGAUACCCCCGUA